rnacentral:lncRNA from 1 species
CAUUAAUUCACGCCCUAUGCAAUUUUGGUCGAUGGGAGGAGGCUGUCGGAUUGUUAAGCGACAUGGAAAGUAGAAAAAUCUAUCCAAAUGUGCGUUCCUUUAAUAUAUUGGUCCAUGCAUUUGGCAGGGAAGGGAAGGUAAAAGAUGUAGAGAAUGUGCUUGAAAUAAUGAUUCAAAGAGGUGAGAAACCGAAUGCAGUAACCUACAAUGGGCUCCUGUAUGGUUAUUGUUUGCGAGGUAAAAUGGAUGAAGCCGUGAGAGUGUUUAAUACAAUGAUAAAUAAUGGGAUGGUACCGCCAAAUAUGAAUUCCUUUGCUAAAUUGGUUGAUACACUUUGCAAGGAAGGGAAUGUAAAGGAUGCAGAACAUGUGAUUGAAAUAAUUAUUCAAAGAGGUGGAAGCCUUGAUGUGGUCACCUACAAUGGGC